GUGCCAGCAGCCGCGGUAAUACAUAGGGGGCUAGCGUUGUCCGGAAUCACUGGGCGUAAAGGGUUCGCAGGCGGAAAAGCAAGUCAGGUGUGAAAGGCGAGGGCUUAACCCUCGUAAGCAUUUGAAACUGUUUUUCUUGAGAUGUGGAGAGGUAAGUGGAAUUCCUAGUGUAGCGGUGAAAUGCGUAGAUAUUAGGAGGAAUACCGGUGGCGAAGGCGACUUACUGGACACAAACUGACGCUGAGGAACGAAAGCGUGGGGAGCAAACAGGAUUAGAUACCCUGGUAGUCCACGCUGUAAACGAUGAGUGCUAGGUGUCGGGAGUAAUCUCGGUGCCGCAGUAAACACAAUAAGCACUCCGCCUGGGGAGUACGUA
rnacentral:rRNA from 1 species